CCUACGGGUGGCAGCAGUGAGGAAUAUUGGUCAAUGGCCGUAAGGCUGAACCAGCCAAGUCGCGUGAAGGAUGAAGGAUCUAUGGUUUGUAAACUUCUUUUAUAAGGGAAUAAAGGUAUCCACGUGUGGCUAUUUGCAUGUACUCUAUGAAUAAGCAUCGGCUAACUCCGUGCCAGCAGCCGCGGUAAUACGGAGGAUGCGAGCGUUAUCCGGAUUUAUUGGGUUUAAAGGGUGCGUAGGUGGUUUUUUAAGUCAGCGGUGAAAGUUUGUGGCUCAACCAUAGAAUUGCCGUUGAAACUGGAAGACUUGAGUGUGUUUGAGGUAGGCGGAAUGCGUGGUGUAGCGGUGAAAUGCAUAGAUAUCACGCAGAACUCCGAUUGCGAAGGCAGCUUACCAAGCCAUAACUGACACUGAAGCACGAAAGCGUGGGGAUCAAACAGGAUUAGAUACCCCGGUAGUC
rnacentral:rRNA from 1 species